GUUCUUGUAGUAAAAUAAUUACAGUGGUUCUUCAAGCCAUUGAUCCUGGUUAAAUUCCUGGCAGGAACU
rnacentral:tRNA from 1 species